AAAUUGAAGAGUUUGAUCAUGGCUCAGAUUGAACGCUGGCGGCAGGCCUAACACAUGCAAGUCGAACGGUAACAGGAAACAGCUUGCUGUUUCGCUGACGAGUGGCGGACGGGUGAGUAAUGUCUGGGAAACUGCCUGAUGGAGGGGGAUAACUACUGGAAACGGUAGCUAAUACCGCAUAACGUCGCAAGACCAAAGAGGGGGACCUUCGGGCCUCUUGCCAUCGGAUGUGCCCAGAUGGGAUUAGCUAGUAGGUGGGGUAACGGCUCACCUAGGCGACGAUCCCUAGCUGGUCUGAGAGGAUGACCAGCCACACUGGAACUGAGACACGGU
rnacentral:rRNA from 1 species